rnacentral:lncRNA from 1 species
CCCCUAUCUCAAGAAAAAGCAGACUUCACACCUUAAGACAGAAAGUCUAGAAAUCCCAUAUAUUGAUGCUAAACAUGGAUCUUUGCCAACAAAACUGUAAAUCCUUAAAUUGAAGACUUUGGACAAUUUUAGGGUGUUGUUUAAGGCUUUUUUCCCCACAAGAAACGACAAAUUUUACUCCAACACAUUUCCAGCUUACAAGAAGCUCCAUUUAGCAGCUUCCCCUUGUUGUAUUGCUAUUGAAAAAUGCAGAAUUGCAGCUCUUUUGGAUGUUGUGACUAUUUCCAGCAGCCCCUGGCACAGGGACAGCUCUCACCAAGCACAAACCACUCGAUUCACCAAAAUAAAAACAGCGGCCGGGCCCUGGAAAUUCACUUUACACAUGGAUUUUAAAGGGAAUAUUCAGGGCCAAAUCCUGGGUUGGGGGAUAUUGGAUUUUGAGCCCCAGCCUGCAAGAAGCCCCUCAGAAGGCACAGUCCAUGCUGUAGGUGUUUAUUCAGGAUUUGUGACUAAAUUUGGGCUAAAAUGGGAUUUAUCUUUAAACACACCUUUUUUUGGCUUUUACCAGGCACUUAAUCCACCUUUCUUGACCCUGGCUGAACAAAUCAAGGACACCUGGCCCUUCCUGACUUUUCACAGUAUCCAUCCUGGAAAAAAAAAAACAAAACAUGAAAAUGCUGAAGGCUUUUGGGUGUUCUGGGACACUCCAAGAUGGCUGAAUGUUCUCUCCUAGAGGGAAAAAUCCCAAGAUAUGCAGAAUCCAACACCUCCAUCCACAGUUCUUGGAGAAAAUGUGCCUAUGUGAGUUUUUGGAGGCCAUGGAUACUCCAGGCUGCUCUUCCAGCCUCCAGACAUUGGCCCCUCUCACUGGAGCAUUUAUCUCUAUCCACCUCUUGGAAGGGUUUGGUGUGUCAGGUCACAGCCUUUUGGCCUGCUCUCAUUAUUUCCUCAAAAAGAAUCAUUAUUUAGGGGCAAAACCAGACUGAACUCAAGCCUGAGCUGGCCUGAAUUAUUCCUGGAAGAUAAACCAGGGAGCAGCCUUCCUGAUAGGUUCAGGAAUACUUGGGGUGUGUUUAGUCUUUAUUCAAUAAUUACACCACUGUGAGUUUCCUGGAUUUAGCUAAGCCCAAAAGCGAAAGUAACAGAUCAAAAUACCCCGAAAUAAAACUUCUAGGAAGGGUUUUCAGGUCUGGCUAACACCAGAUAGCUUUGGAAAUGGCCAAAAGACGUCUGAUCUUUCGAGAUUUCCAUCUCCACUUCCAAGCCUUUCCCGGCUUAUCCCCGCAGAACCUCGCGGCCGCUGGACGCUCGCCCCAUCCUCCAAAAACCAGGAGGCUCCCAGGGAAGGGAUUGAGGCUCAUCCUGGCUGAGCCAGCUCAGAGCUGGGCUGCUGCAGCUCCAGAGCUGCCCAGCAUUCCCAAAGGGAAUUUCAGUGGAACGGCAGCAAAGGAAGGGAAGAGCUCUUGGAAGGUGGCCGUGCAGCCAAUUCCCAGCUGUGGAAUUAGGGAGCAGGGAACUGGAGAGGACAGGCAGCUCCUUCCUCCCCCAAAGCACUCCACGGACUGCAGGCCCCUUCCCCUUCCCACUGGCUGCCAGUAAAAUCCCAUGAAAAGAAAAAAAUGAGAAACAUUUUGACAUGAAAAUAGAAAUAUGAAGGUGCCCAGGAUGUCAGGUGUCCACGGAGGGCGAGGGCUGUCCAGCAUCCCAGGGCUGCUGUGAAGGACACAUCAAAACCAUCCUGCAGCCCCAGCUGCUCCCUGGCUGCCCCUCCUCCUGCUGGCCUGAAAAUGGGGUAUUUCCAGCAUUAACCUGGUUGGAGACCACCUUGAAAGUUUCUCCUCUGUCAGCUCCCGAGGCCUCUCCCAGGAUUUCCCUUUUUUUAAGGCCACACAGCAGCAGCGUGCCUUGGGUCACCUGCAGGUUUUUCCCUGUGGGUUUCUUUUGGAUUUUAGGUUUUGCUCCCCUUGCUGGAACUGGGGAUGAGUGGGAUGCAGUGCCCACAGAUCUGGGCCUGAAGAAAGAUGUGGGGAGGGGAAGGGCAGCCAGGCUGCCCUCAGGCUGUGUGCUGCCUCUCCUGCUCCCCCCUGGCAGGGAGGGCUGACACCAGCUGCCCAUCAGAGCACUCAUUUUGUCCCCACGCCAUUAAAUCCACCCUUGAAGUUCACUGCACUCUCAGAGUCCUUUCCAUUUAUCCAGCAAUGGACCUUUGUGCCUGCAGCACUGGCACCACCAGCUCCUGGCUGUGUUUAUUCAUCUGCAAACACCUCAAAACUGAGAUGCAGCUUUUUCUGGCCCUAUUUAUUACCAAAAGCCACUGUUUAUAUGAAGUGGGGUUAUGUGAAGGAGUAGAGUUCUUUCAGCCUUCAACAGAGCUGCCACUGCUCCAGCCAUGAUCCAGGGGGGAAUCUCCCAGCUCUGCAGAGCACAGGGCAAAUUUCACAUUCUCCAUCUGCUCCAGCAAAGGCUGAGCUGAAAUAUUAAUGAGGAGAUCUGAUCCCUUCUCACCAGAAACAAUCUGGGUUUUAUAGCCCAGGCAGAGGCAAAGCUCUGGGAUCCAUCCUCUGCUGCUGCUUAAGGGCUUGCAAGGAAACAAGGAGCCUGGGGCAGGACACAGAGUGUAAAAUGUGGACAUCUGGUGUGUUCUGUGUGUUCUGUCCUCCCUCCCUCUCCUCAGGCUCAGCCCCCUCCUCUCUGCACAGCAGAGGGGGGAGCCUGCUCUAACAUCAACAACCAUAAUAUGGCAAUAAAGAUUAAUGAGCAAAACUUGCCAUUUUAUGUCUAAUCCGUGGGGAUUUAUGAUCAUUAAUCUUUAUUAGUGUGUAAUAACUGUUUAGACACUGAGGACAGAUUCUCAGCUGGACAAAACUGGCCUUACUCCAGCCAAGGAACAGAGCAGUGCCAGUUUACACCUCCAUGACCCCAGCUCUACAUGAGACCCAUCCCAUCUGUAGGAAUCACAUCACUGACAGUAUUUCCCCAACAGCAGGGGCACUGAAGUGAAGGCAACUAUUUGUCUUUCCCUGUAUCCCAAAAAAGAGAGCUGCAUGUGUCCAGGAAGCUCAACAAUAGACAUGUCAAUAAACACGAGGAAAUUCAAUGAAAAAGCAACAGCAACAAAAGGAACCCCAAGGAGCAGGGAAGUGGAUGGUUUCAGAGGCAAGGCUAUCAGAUCUGGUUUGGCAGGAGCAUAACUAAGAGGGAUCUUUGGCAUGUGAAAGAGUGAAAGCACCAAGACAGGCUCCCAGAAUUCCUCUAACAGGAACAAGAUGGAAAGGGAAAAAAAAAAAAAAAAAAAAAA